GACGAACGCUGGCGGCGUGCCUAAUACAUGCAAGUAGAACGCAGUUGCGAACGGGUGAGUAACGCGUAGGUAACUGCCUCAUAGCGGGGGAUAACUAUUGGAAACGAUAGCUAAUACCGCAUACUGUGAGAUGGACCUGCGUUGUAUUAGGUAGUUGGUUAGGUAAAGGGUCACCAAGGCGACGAUACAUAGCCGGCCCGAGAGGGGUGACGGGCAAAAUGGGAAUGGGACAAGGCCCAGGCUCCUACCGGGGGCAGCAGUAGGGGAUCUUCGGCAAUUGGCGGAAAUCUGACCAAGCAAAGCCGGGGGGAUGGAAGAGGUUUUCGGGUCGUAAAGCUCUGUUGUUAGAGGAGCGGUAACUAACCAGAAAGGGACGGCUAACUACGUGCCAGCAGCCGCGGUAAUUC
rnacentral:rRNA from 1 species